GUAAGCCUGUAUUCUGAUUUCUGGUUGGAGCCUGUCUGGGACCCAAGCAAGAAGAAAGUGGAUGCGGCACUGCUCCUGGGGUUAGAGGUGGACAGGAGAUGUCCUGCCUUUUCACUGGUUUCCACUGAGGGGACAUUUGGUUCUGGUUCUGGGCAUGCGGGAUUGCUCUUGUCGGUUUGUGUCUGUAGUUUGAUUUAGUUUGGUUGUUGCUCUGUGUUUCAUAUCCGGGAAAAUGGACCAAAGUUCUUCUGCUGGCUGUUCACCUCUUGGCUUAGUAUGUAACCAUCUCAAGGAUUUUCAGGGGGUAAAAAGCGGCUGAAUCAGGACAACAACAAUAACAACAAAAACAGAUAAACUGGCUGACACUGAGUCCAGCGCUGCUGGUGAAGCCCCGCCUCCUGCUCGCCUGACAGCAAACCCCAGCCACCUGAUUUGUCCAAGUCCCUCUUAAAGCCGAACCAGCAAUUCCUCAGCUUUCUCUGGUCAGGAAGCCUGUGCCUACUCCCGCUACAGAACCACUGUGCCCAUGAGAGUUGGAUUUUGAAGGCAGAAAGGCGCUCCUCCCUUGAAAUUAGAUCAGGAAGAAGUAAGGAAAGUUUUGUCUGUUUUGAAUGUAUAAAUGUAUGUGGCCACUGCAUAUUUGUUUCUGACUGGUCUUAAAUGUCCGAGUGUACUAUGUUCUGUAUGUAUUGGUUAUAAAUCACUGGCUUAUAAGGUGUUGGGUAUGGUUAAAAAGUUAUAAUAUCUAUACCAAAAAGUUUAACUUCAAACUAGUAACUCAGGGUUGGAGUCAUUCUGGGCAGCUACACAUGGCAUGAGUCAGCCAAGGAAACGGGUCUCCAAAGAUACUUUUAAAUUAGAUUAAGAUUUUUAUAUAAUUUCUGCUCUGUCUUAAAACCAGGUUUAUAAAAAAAUUAGGAGGUAUUAAAGCUGCACCUUCAUGUGUUCUUAUACAAGAACUUUUCUUGCUGGAAGCUAAACUUUGUAACAUAAAAUAAUCCACUUAUAAUAAUAACUUAUAAUAACUAACCCACUUAUAAUAAAACACUAACGCUCUACCACUGAGCUAAAUCCCCAACCCCUUUGUUUGCAUUUUUAAGAUUUUUUUUAUGUGUGUGUGUGUGUGUGUGUGUGUGUGUGUGUGUGUGUG
ensembl:lncRNA